rnacentral:rRNA from 1 species
GGACUACCAGGGUAUCUAAUCCCGUUUGCUCCCCUGGCUUUCGCGCCUCAGCGUCAGAAGAGGUCCAGCACGCCGCUUUCGCCACCGGCGUUCCUUCCGAUAUCUACGCAUUUCACCGCUCCACCGGAAGUUCCACAUGCCCCUACCUCCCUCGAGACGGCCAGUAUCAAAGGCACUUUUCCGGUUGAGCCGAAAGAUUUCACCCCUGACUUGGCCGCCCGCCUACGCGCCCUUUAAGCCCAGUGAAUCCGAACAACGUUUGCACGGUUCGUCUUACCGCGGCGGCUGGCAC